rnacentral:rRNA from 1 species
UACGUAGGCGGCAAGCGUUGUCCGGAUUUAUUGGGCGUAAAGCGAGCGCAGGCGGUUCCUUAAGUCUGAUGUGAAAGCCCACGGCUCAACCGUGGAAGGUCAUUGGAAACUGGGGAACUUGAGUGCAGAAGAGGAGAGUGGAAUUCCAUGUGUAGCGGUGAAAUGCGUAGAUAUAUGGAGGAACACCAGUGGCGAAGGCGACUCUCUGGUCUGUAACUGACGCUCAGGCACGAAGGCGUGGGGAUCAAACAGGAUUAGA